rnacentral:rRNA from 1 species
AUGAUAGGCAGGAAAAUCCAUGUGGGGGCCGACAAUCUGACCAGGCUUUGGAAAGAUUCUAUCAAUGGGCUGGCUCCCUUUCAGGAACAAUUCCCCCGCCUAUUUGACAUAUGUGUCGAUCAGAACUGCACUCUGGAUAAAAUGGGGGCUGUAGUUUGUUCCAGCUUCUUUCAUAGAAGACUAGACCCAGAUCUUAUGGAUCAAUGGGCUAAUAUCCGCGAUCAGGUCCGCGGCAUGCGCCUGUCGGACGCCCCUGACUCUGUGUACUGGGGCCUGAACAAAUCAAGCAACUACACUACAAAAUAUAUGUAUAAGUGGCUCGAAAAACCCCUUAGUGGGUGCAACUUUAGAUGGAUUUGGAAGGCUAAGAUUCCGCUUAAAAUCCAGAUCUUCCUUUGGCAACUCUCGCAAGAUGCUGUUUUAACGAGGCAAGUGAUGCGACAGCGCAAGUGGCCAGGGAAUCCAAUGUGUUCAUUCUGCCAGCAAGUUGAAACCUCUCAGCAUUUGUUCUUUGAUUGUCCUGUUGCCAGGGUUGUGUGGUGA